rnacentral:rRNA from 1 species
AAUAGAUACCCGGGUAGUCCACCCCGUAAACGUUGGGAACUAGUUGUGGGGUCCUUUCCACGGAUUCCGUGACGCAGCUAACGCAUUAAGUUCCCCGCCUGGGGAGUACGGCCGCAAGGCUAAAACUCAAAGGAAUUGACGGGGACCCGCACAAGCGGCGGAGCAUGCGGAUUAACUCGAUGCAACGCGAAGAACCUUACCAAGGCUUGACAUACACCAGAACACCCUAGAAAUAGGGGACUCUUUGGACACUGGUGAACAGGUGGUGCAUGGUUGUCGUCAGCUCGUGUCGUGAGAUGUUGGGUUAAGUCCCGCAACGAGCGCAACCCUCGUUCUAUGUUGCCAGCACGUAAUGGUGGGAACUCAUGGGAUACUGCCGGGGUCAACUCGGAGGAAGGUGGGGAUGACGUCAAAUCAUCAUGCCCCUUAUGUCUUGGGCUUCACGCAUGCUACAAUGGCCGGUACAAAGGGCUGCAAUACCGUGAGGUGGAGCGAAUCCAAAAGCCGGUCCAGUUCGGAUUGAGGUCUGCACUCGACCUCA